UACGUAGGGUGCAAGCGUUGUCCGGAAUUAUUGGGCGUAAAGAGCUCGUAGGCGGUCUGUCGCGUCUGCUGUGAAAACCUGGGGCUUAACCCCGGGCCUGCAGUGGGUACGGGCAGACUAGAGUGUGGUAGGGGAGACUGGAAUUCCUGGUGUAGCGGUGAAAUGCGCAGAUAUCUGGAGGAACACCGGUGGCGAAGGCGGCAUCCUGGACCAACACUGACACUGAGGAGCGAAAGCCAGGGGAGCAAACGGG
rnacentral:rRNA from 1 species